AAAUAAACUACUCUAAAUAACCGAUUGGUUCAAACUUACUCGAUCUAUUAGUAAUUGUAUUUAUUAUUUAAAACUAAAUUUUAAUUAAUAUGUUUUGAUUACACUAACUGAGAACUCACCGUACUCGAAUAAUCGCAAAUCAUUCCGAAACACUUCAUUUUUUAAAAUAGGAUUUUCGCUUCGGUAUAAAGCGCUGAAACGGCAACACUGCUCCCUACAUCCGUAAGCUCAUCAUCAGUUGAAGUUAAUCCCUUAAGGCGACGAUUUGCGAAUUUUUAAUAUUUACUUUUUGGGUGUUCAGGUUUCAGCAGGGCAAUACCUUCUUCAAGCGGAAGUUGGUAAAAAUUUUGAAAAAGUGCUGUCACGGAGUUUUUGUCUCCAAUUCAACAUUUAUGGCAUAUCCGGAAAAAAAUGUCUGAAGGAUUUUACUGAAGUGUUUACGGUAUUAAAAAAAGCAAUUGGAAAACAUCGGUCAACGCGGAAGCUGAAAUACGAAAGGCCUUACAGAUUGUCAAAAAGAGGCAUUUCCGAAUGGUUUCUUUAGGAAAAUCCUAAAGUAAUUAAUUAACUUUUACCUUAAAAAUAUUAUAUAAGUACUUUGAAAUGUG